rnacentral:sRNA from 1 species
AAACAAACCAGGGCGGGAUGGGAGUGUCUUCUUGGCUGUGGAAAUCGAUCCUCCUACCUUGUCCUGAAGCCACCCGCCGCCUUUCCUCGUCCCUCCCUUCGCGGUGAUUUUCCGGUCCCGGCGCCCGGCGAGGGCGCGCGGCUGGUGUCCGCCCCGCCCGAAAGGGUGGCACCUGUGGAAAUGAAACGGAGAAAUAAGAUCCAGCCUUGUUUAUCAAAGCCAGCUUUUGCCUCUCUGCUGAGUCAGAGCUCUGCAUAUAUUUUAAGAAAAGGCAUUGAGGAACUCAAUCAAACCAGUAUUCUUUUCACACAGGUUUCAUCAGUUUCACCCUUUUCUGUGUGCAGCUGAUUUUAGAAAGAUUGCUUCCUUGUAUGGUAGCGAUAAGUUUGAUUUGCCCUAUGGGAUGAGAACAUCAGCGGAAUAUUUUCGACUUGCUCUUUCAAAACUGCAGAGUUGUGAUCUCUUUGAUGAGUUUGACAAGAAAUCCUGGAGUCUGAGAUAAAAGGGGAUCUCAACAACCCUCAGGAUUCAGAAGUGUUA